CGCCAACACUGGGACUGAGACACUGCCCAGACUCCUACGGGAGGCUGCAGUCGAGAAUCUUUCGCAAUGGGCGCAAGCCUGACGAAGCGACGCCGUGUGAGCGAAGAAGGCCUUCGGGUUGUAAAGCUCUUUCGCUAGGGAACAAGAAAGCUCGAUUAAUAAACGGGUAAUUUGAUUGUACUUGGUAAAGAAGCACCGGCUAACUCCA
rnacentral:rRNA from 1 species